CAGGACGAACGCUGGCGGCGCGCCUAACACAUGCAAGUCGAACGGAGUUAAGAGAGCUUGCUUCUUAACUUAGUGGCGGACGGGUGAGUAACACGUGAGCAACCUGCCUUUCAGUGGGGGACAACAGUUGGAAACGACUGCUAAUACCGCAUAACGUUGCGAAAGGGCAUCCUUUUGCAACCAAAGAUUUAUCGCUGAAAGAUGGGCUCGCGUCUGAUUAGAUAGUUGGUGAGGUAACGGCCCACCAAGUCGACGAUCAGUAGCCGGACUGAGAGGUUGAACGGCCACAUUGGGACUGAGACACGGCCCAGACUCCUACGGGAGGCAGCAGUGGGGGAUAUUGGACAAUGGGGGCAAACCCCCUGAUCCAGCGACGCCGCGUGAGGGAAGAAGGUUUUCGGAUUGUAAACCUCUGUUGACAGGGAAGAAAAUGACGGUACCUGUUAAGAAAGCCACGGCUAACUACGUGCCAGCCGCAGC
rnacentral:rRNA from 1 species